AACGCUGGCGGCGUGCUUAACACAUGCAAGUCGAACGAAGCACUUUAUUUGAUUUCCUUCGGGACUGAUUAUUUUGUGACUGAGUGGCGGACGGGUGAGUAACGCGUGGGUAACCUGCCUUGUACAGGGGGAUAACAGUUGGAAACGGCUGCUAAUACCGCAUAAGCGCACAGUAUCGCAUGAUGCAGUGUGAAAAACUCCGGUGGUAUAAGAUGGACCCGCGUUGGAUUAGCUAGUUGGUGAGGUAACGGCCCACCAAGGCGACGAUCCAUAGCCGACCUGAGAGGGUGACCGGCCACAUUGGGACUGAGACACGGCCCAAACUCCUACGGGAGGCAGCAGUGGGGAAUAUUGCACAAUGGGCGAAAGCCUGAUGCAGCGACGCCGCGUGAGCGAAGAAGUAUUUCGGUAUGUAAAGCUCUAUCAGCAGGGAAGAUAAUGACGGUACCUGACUAAGAAGCACCGGCUAAAUACGUGCCAGCAGCCGCGGUAAUACGUAUGGUGCAAGCGUUAUCCGGAUUUACUGGGUGUAAAGGGAGCGCAGGCGGUGCGGCAAGUCUGAUGUGAAAGCCCGGGGCUCAACCCCGGUACUGCAUUGGAAACUGUCGUACUAGAGUGUCGGAGGGGUAAGCGGAAUUCCUAGUGUAGCGGUGAAAUGCGUAGAUAUUAGGAGGAACACCAGUGGCGAAGGCGGCUUACUGGACGAUAACUGACGC
rnacentral:rRNA from 1 species